UACAGAGGUUGCAAGCGUUAAUCGGAUUUACUGGGCGUAAAGCGUGUGUAGGUGGUUGUACAAGUCGGUUGUGAAAUCCCUGGGCUCAACCUGGGAACUGCUUCCGAGACUGUACGACUAGAGAUCGGUAGAGGGCGGUGGAAUUUCCGGUGUAGCGGUGAAAUGCGUAGAUAUCGGAAGGAACACCAAUGGCGAGGGCAGCCGCCUGGGCCUGAUCUGACACUGAGACACGAAAGCGUGGGGAUCAAACAGG
rnacentral:rRNA from 1 species